AUUGAACGCUGGCGGCAUGCUUUACGCAUGCAAGUCGAACGGUAACAGGCCUUCGGGUGCUGACGAGUGGCGAACGGGUGAGUAAUGCAUCGGAACGUGCCCAAUCGUGGGGGAUAACGUAGCGAAAGUUACGCUAAUACCGCAUAAGCCCUGAGGGGGAAAGUGGGGACCGCAAGGCCUCACGCGAAUGGAGCGGCCGAUGUCAGAUUAGCUAGUUGGUGGGGUAAAGGCCCACCAAGGCGACGAUCUGUAGCGGGUCUGAGAGGAUGAUCCGCCACACUGGGACUGAGACACGGCCCAGACUCCUACGGGAGGCAGCAGUGGGGAAUUUUGGACAAUGGGCGCAAGCCUGAUCCAGCCAUGCCGCGUGCGGGACGAAGGCC
rnacentral:rRNA from 1 species